GCAAAUUUUCCGUUAUUCUUUAUGGUGUAUAUACAGCUUUUAGGUUUUGACUCUGUAGAUUUUUGAUAUAGUUUUUGCGAGAAUCGGUGCAGCUUUUUAGGCGUUGACCGGUUUGGAUUAUCUUCGGAUUUGAACUAUCCGAUUAUCAGUUUAUCUUAUAUUGAAAUGAGUCUACAACAGGAAUCACACCGUCCUCAUCAUCGAUUUGGAAAUCCGUUUAAAAUGAUUUUAUCACCCAAGGGCUCAUAUUUGUCUCCUAAACUUCUUGCUCUGUUAAAUUCAUUUGAGCAGACAUUAGCAGGGAGACUUAAGAGUCUUAAGCCUGGAGGCAAGGAAGAUAUCCUUAGCCUUUCAUGGAUGACUCAAGCAAUAAGCACACUUUGUGCAGUCCAUACAGAUGUGAAAACUCUUAUUACUGAUCUCGAGCUUCCUGUAUCUGACUGGGAAGAGAAGUGGAUUGGUGUCUACUUGGACAAUAGUUUGAAGAUGCUGGAUAUGUGCGUAGCCUACAGCUCUGAGAUUUCCAGGCUUAGCCAAGGUCACCUUUAUCUUCAGUGCAGCUUGCACAAGCUAGAUGGCUCUUCAACACAGUUCAUGAAGGCUCGUUCUUCAUUGGAUGGAUGGAAGCAGCACAUUAAUGCAAAGAACCAUAGACUGGAGAAUUGCUUUGCCAUCUUGGACAGUCUCACUGAUUCACUGAACCUACCCAAGAUUAAGAAUUCUGCUAAAGGGAAGGUUCUGAUGCAUGCAAUGUAUGGAGUGAGGGUUGCAACUGUUUUCAUAUGUAGCAUCUUUGCUGUUGCAUUCUCGGGUUCUGCAGCGAAAUUGAAGGAUCUGCAGGUUCUUGAGAGUUGCUUGUGGACAGAAGCUUUUGUUGAUCUUCGUGAUUUUGUUAGUGGUGAGAUCAGGGGCAUAUAUUCUGUAGGGAAAUUCACAGCACUGAAGGAGCUUGAAGCAUUGGAUGUUAGUGUGAAGAAGAUAUACCCAAUCAUUCAGGAUGGAGUAGAUUCUAUUGACGCGGCACAGUUGGAACUUCUAACUUCAGAUCUGACUCAAAAAAAUGAAAAAUUUUCAGUAGGACUAGAUCUCCUAGCAAAGGAGACAGAUAAGUUCUUUCAAAUACUUCUAACUGGACGCGAUGUGUUGCUUUGUAACCUUAGAGUUGGUAGUGCAACCGUUAAACCAGCCCAACCAAACAACAAUGUACAUAAACAAAUGGUGAAGUGAUGGUUAAGAAAGCGAGCAUCUUUUGUGUUUACACAAGUGUGCGUGUGUCAAUGCAGAGUUUUGUGCUUUCUGGUUAAAUAUGUACUGCUAAGAUGUGCAAUAUAUAACAUUUGUUGUGAUAAAGGCUGUGUAAUUUAUAGUAGUGAAGGUUGUGUAUUGUUGCCAUAUAGGUGUUUUACAACGAUCCAUAUAUAUCUGUACCCCUUUACUAUAUCAACGAUGUAUAAAAGAAGUUCAAUGAGAAGUUGCCAUCCCUGCU
rnacentral:misc_RNA from 1 species